AGUAACACGUGGAUAAUCUGCCCUGCACAGGGGGACAACAGCUAGAAAUGGCUGCUAAUACCGCAUAAGCCUACAGCCUCGCAUGAGGGAGUAGGAAAAGAAAUUCGGUGCAGGAUGAGUCCGCGUCUGAUUAGCUAGUUGGAGGGGUAAAAGCCCACCAAGGCAACGAUCAGUAGCCGGCCUGAGAGGGCGGCCGGCCACAUUGGGACUGAGACACGGCCCAAACUCCUACGGGAGGCAGCAG
rnacentral:rRNA from 1 species